ensembl:lncRNA
CUGAGUCACCGUCUGAGCAGCGUUUUCGGGAGCAAUCUCCCGAACAGGAAGAGAGGCCUUCUCUAGAAGCAGUAGGAAGGGGCCCGGAGGCUGUGGGGAAACCACAAGCAGUCCCAGGGCUGGGAGCAGAGCCCCCAGGCUCACACACCUUGACCGCUUCCCAGGGGGAAUGAGCAGGACAAGUUCAAAGACAUCAGAAGUCGGUCUCUGAGACGGACAGGAAAACGAUGCUUUCUACUUAGCCGCCAGAAGAGUUUAAAGUCUGAGGCUUCAUAGACAUUCAAAGAACCCAGAGCAAUCCUGAGAGGACCUCAGAGAGAACACCUGCUUGCCUUCUGAGUCCUCCUGACGAAGAGGAGAAUGUGCCCUGUCGACGAAAAUAAUCCAUAACCAAUCUAUAAACAAGAAUUUGGGUGAGUUUAUUCUGAGCUAAAAUGUGAGGACCAUGGCCUGGGGCCUUUCUUCCCGAAGGAAGGAAGGGCACCAAAGAAGUGGGGGGUACAGAGUGGUUAUAUACCCUGAAAGGGGAUGUUUCACAUAGGAUUGAAAUGUCCCUUUUACAACAGUCAACUUCGAGACUGCUCUGUCAGCACAGCGAUUGAUGGACGCAGCAGGUAGCAGGUCUGCUGUCUUGGUGAACACAGCAGGGUGGCAGGUCUGUUGUCUCAAGCUGGGUGGUCACAGGUGAGCACAGCAAUCAGUUCCUAACCUAGGGAGAGAUGCUUAUCCUUAAGGAAAUGCCAAUGUGAGGGGAAGUUGCACCUUUAUCUUAAGGCAUUUGUUCUUGCCAUAGCAAAUGUUUAAAGCAGAUAUACAAUGUGUGCUCAACGGCCAUGUCAGGCCCUUUUGGAAGAACAAAGUCACGCCGAAUUGGGUUUACACCAGAUGGCUUCCUCAUGUGCUCUAGCAUAUCCUAUUGCUUGCCCUUUCUGUUUGUCACCCACGAGGAAGAGGGUGAGGAGGAGCGCUGACAGGACGUCUCAGGACCUGGUGAACCCCACAAGAACUGUAACAAAAACUUGACUUCAGCAACUGAGCCAGAAACAAAAGAGCAAAAAUCUAGGACCAGGAAACUGUCGGAGAUGAGGUUAUCGAUCUCUGAGCCAGCAUCUGAGGUCUGUCAGCCCAGUGCUUCUGAGAGCUAUUGCAGAGGUCGCUCAGGAAGACGGGAGGAACUGUGCCCAAAGGGCCUGGAGGGACAUCCCAGCCACACGCGCAGUUCCUCUGAGUCUCCGGCGAGAACGUGAAGCCCACAGCCGAGCCCGGGUCCGCUCCUUUGGCGCAUAAGUUAUGGAUUCCAUAUCAGCAAUCAACAGCUGUCUAAUAAGAAUUUAUCAAGCAUAUAAAACCCUACAUUACUCGGCAGUGGAACCAAGUAAGAAUUUAAAUGGCCAGAUGCCACCUGUACCAAUCAGAGCCUGGGAACUUUGGCGCCCACUGCCAUCGGGGGAUCUCAAAGAUUUUCAACUUUCCAAUGAUCAUUUCUCAUCUCUACUUUAUCUAAAGAACUUGAAACUUGAAGAUGAGUAUAAAGCUGAUAUCUAACAUGCAAAACUAUGUCAGAGUAGGAUGUUCAGCUCUAGAUCCCCGUUGCCAAUGGCAUUUGUGAUAAGAACAGAUGAACCAAAUCAAAUAACGAGAGUUUCAGGAUAGCUCUUCUACGCCCCAAAUGAACAAUUAAUAUAUUACUGCUGUCUGCAAAAAUAUGAGCUAAACAAAGAAGAACAUAAAAACCAUCCCAGGCUUAUUCAGUAUGCACACACCAGUCUCUGGUGACGUCUCCAAGAAUUAAUUGAGUAUAAAAUGUUGUGCAGAAAGCGGGGUACUCUCAUGGCAGUGAAGGAGAAUGGUCUCACAAAACACACCAGUGAGCCUAGCGUCUCAUUACCCUCCCUUCCGUCCCCUUCUUCUCUGCCUCUUCCUUCCCCCGAGACAGCAAGGCACAACCCAGGGAGUUGCCAAGAUGAUUACACAGAAGGUGAAUCAUGAUUGUGCGGCCUACAGCUCCGCGAGAACUCAGGAGGGAGUCGCUCUCGGAAGACAACGACCUCGUUACUGACGUUAUGGGAGCAGCGAGCGGCACGUCUUCUCUGAAAGGCAAACUGGUAUCAUCUACUCUUCAUGGGGU